AUACGGAGGAUACGAGCGUUAUCCGGAUUUAUUGGGUUUAAAGGGUGCGUAGGCUGUGCGUUAAGUCAGGGGUGAAAUGCCGUCGCUCAACGACGGAGCUGCCCUUGAUACUGGCGUGCUGGAGUACGGAUGCCGUUGGAGGAAUGAGUGGUGUAGCGGUGAAAUGCUUAGAUAUCACUCAGAACACCGAUUGCAAAGGCAUCUGACGAAUCCGUCACUGACGCUGAGGCACGAAAGCGUGGGGAUAGAACAGGAUUAGAUACCCUGGUAUUCCACGCCGUAAACGAUGAUGACUAACCGUCGGCGAUAGACAGCCGGUGGCCAAGCGAAAGCGAUAAGUCAUCCACCUGGGGAGUACGUCGGCAACGAUGAAACUCAAAUGAAUUGACGGGG
rnacentral:rRNA from 1 species